rnacentral:rRNA from 1 species
AGAACGAACGCUGGCGGCAGGCCUCAAACAUGCAAGUCUAGGGGGUGCAGCAAUGCAUCACCGGCGGACGGGUGCGUAACACGUGGGAAUAUACCUUUUGGUUCGGAACAACUGAGGGAAACUUCAGCUAAUACCGAAUGUGUUCUUACGGAGAAAGAUUUAUCGCCAAAGGAUUAGCCCGCGUCCGAUUAGCUAGUUGGUGAGGUAAUGGCUCACCAAGGCUCCGAUCGGUAGCUGUUCUGAGAGGAAGAUCAGCCACACUGGGACUGAGACACGGCCCAGACUCCUACGGGAGGCAGCAGUUGGGAAUCUUGGACAAUGGGGGAAACCCUGAUCCAGCCAUGCCGCGUGAGUGAUGAAGGCCUUCGGGUUGUAAAACUCUUUCGACGGGGACGAUAAGUGACGGUACCCGUAGAAGAAGCUCCGGCUAACUUCGUGCCAGCAGCCGC